rnacentral:ncRNA from 2 species
UACGUAGGGUGCGAGCGUUGUCCGGAAUUAUUGGGCGUAAAGAGCUCGUAGGCGGUUCGUCGCGUCGAAUGUGAAAACCCGGGGCUCAACUCCGGGCUUGCAUUCGAUACGGGCGGACUAGAGUUCGGUAGGGGAGACUGGAAUUCCUGGUGUAGCGGUGAAAUGCGCAGAUAUCAGGAGGAACACCGGUGGCGAAGGCGGGUCUCUGGGCCGAUACUGACGCUGAGGAGCGAAAGCGUGGGGAGCGAACAGG